GCGAAGGCCAUGGCUGGUGUAUGGGGUGUGUGGAGAGGAGGAGGGAGAGGCGCUGGCGUGUGGCCGGUUGGCUGUGCCACACGUGCGUCCCCUUCCUCCAAUACUCUUGCCUCUUCUCUCCCUCUCCUCACACCGGCCUCUGCUUCCCAGUGAGCAGUUGCGCCUCCUGCAGCGGGCCCACUCCCACAGCUCCAGCCCUGAGGUGGGCAGCACAGACUUUCAGAGCUUGAUCGAUGCUAACAGAAAGUGGCUAGAACACUACAGAAAUGAUGCCAAGUUACCUCUCUUGUCGUCAGUGCCCAAGCCGGCAGCGACCUCAGGCCUGCUGCAGCUGGGCAUCGACGAGAACAGACUGAGGGUGUACCGCUACUGAGGCCCCAAGCCUGUCCUGCACCCAGACCAAGUGCCUGAGGACCUGCCUGCGCUCUAGUCCUUCUGAGAAAGCAUUCUCCUGCCCUAUUUGCUGCCUGCCCCUCUCAGAGGAACCCCGGGGGCCGGGGCUGGAAAGGAUGGUACGACUGGAAACCGUAAGCUGCCCCCCUGAGACCACGUAUCUCAGGCUGAAGAGAGUGGACUUCUGUGAGCUCCUGACUGGACAAGGCAACACCGACGUGGGAGCGUCCGAGCCCGGGCCCCUGCAGGACGAGGAGGAGGUAUUAGGAUUUGCCUUCUGAGGCCAAGGGGCCUGCAGGGCACACUGCACUUGGGACUCCUGUGGUUACGUGUGUAUGGUCCUAAUUCUCCAGAACGAAGCUCUGUACCCUGGCACCAGGCUCUAAUACCUCAGCCUCAGAGAGACAGACCGUUUUCUUUUUCUUUUUGUAAGUCUCCUUUCUUGAGCACUCUAUCUCAGGAUUGGGCCCAGAGCCCUGCCAGAGGUUGCUGGAAGUUGGCCCCCAGACGUUCUGCUGCCUCUCCUCCCUCUGCUGGCUCUGCUUUCCUCAGGGGUGCUCUGUUCCCUCCCCUCCGGCUCCCCCCCAGAGAACCCCCCACUCCCCCCAGCUUGAGUCUCAGGUCGCAAGAAGAAGCCAACAAGCCAUAGGAAAAGUCUGGGAUGGCUUUGGGUCUGCACCUGGGUUUUCUCUUUCUGGACCACCAUGGGGAGAGUUGUGGGUUCUCGUUUCCACCUGCCUGGCAGCCCUCCUCCCAGCUCCCUGCAGUCCUGCUUCCCAGCAGAGGGCUUCUGGGGCCUGCUGCGAUGUUGUCAGACACCUGUCCUGUCCCAUCGUUUAAAUAACACGUUCCCGUGGUUGUCUUGAAAGCUGUGGGGCUGCCCUUGCCUCUCCACUGCACAGACACCAAGCCUCUGCCAGCUA